GCUACUGCUAUGGCUGUAGAGUCAUAGAGAUGGCAUUGGAGUUGUAUGGUGCAUGUUAUUUAAAAAACAAGCCAGAAAUAAUCAUUUAGUUGUGCGGGAGCCACGGAGCAUACUGCAUGCGUUCAACAUAGCCUUGUGUUGGCGUGCUGCUUCUUUUCUGAAAUACACUGAGUUGAAUCGUCGAGAAUCACUUGCCCUUGCUUCAGAUGGAUUGAAUUAUGAAUGCAAUGAGGCUCCAUCAUAGGCAGGCUUAUAGGUUCGUAGUAUCGUUAGGACGGGCAUCUUACUAUAACAAUAUAAGACACAUUUUGUAUAUAUAACACAUGUGCAUAUAUAAGUUAUCGAGAUAUUAUA